UGCCCAACAACUCCUAUCCCUACCUCCUCGUGGUACUGAUCGGGUUACGAGGAACCCUAGGGAAGAUCGGGUGACCAACGCCGGUGGCAAACUUUGUUCGUAUGCUGACAGAGAAGG
rnacentral:ribozyme from 1 species